rnacentral:rRNA from 1 species
GACGAACCGUGCUAACGUUGUUCGGAAUCACUGGGCUUAAAGGGCGCGUAGGCGGCCAGCACAAGUCAGUUGUGAAAUCUCCGAGCUUAACUCGGAAAGGUCAACUGAUACUGUGCGGCUAGAGUGCGGAAGGGGCAACUGGAAUUCUUGGUGUAGCGGUGAAAUGCGUAGAUAUCAAGAGGAACACCUGCGGCGAAGGCGGGUUGCUGGGCCGACACUGACGCUGAGGCGCGAAAGCCAGGGGAGCGAACGGG